GAUGAACGCUGGCGGCGUGCCUAAUACAUGCAAGUCGAGCGAACAGACGAGGAGCUUGCUCCUCUGACGUUAGCGGCGGACGGGUGAGUAACACGUGGAUAACCUACCUAUAAGACUGGGAUAACUUCGGGAAACCGGAGCUAAUACCGGAUAAUAUAUUGAACCGCAUGGUUCAAUAGUGAAAGACGGUUUUGCUGUCACUUAUAGAUGGAUCCGCGCCGCGUUAGCUAGUUGGUAAGGUAACGGCUUACCAAGGCAACGAUGCGUAGCCGACCUGAGAGGGUGAUCAGCCACACUGGAACUGAGACACGGUCCAGACUCCUACGGGAGGCAGCAGUAGGGAAUCUUCCGCAAUGGGCGAAAGCCUGACGGAGCAACGCCGCGUGAGUGAUGAAGGUCUUCGGAUCGUAAAACUCUGUUAUUAGGGAAGAACAAAUGUGUAAGUAACUAUGCACGUCUUGACGGUACCUAAUCAGAAAGCCACGGCUAACUACGUG
rnacentral:rRNA from 1 species